UGCCCCCCCUCCAAACACCGUCUGCCAGCGAGGUGGUCGGGCGUUUGUUUUCACUAACACAUCUGGUACAUGUGAUUUUGAAGCAGACACUUAUAUUCAGACCAAAAAAUGUACAGACAACACUGAUGUGUGUGAUUUCACCAGCGGUACGACUCCACCACCUCUCACCAUCCCAGAGAGUAGAAACCAGGACCAGGGAGGCUCUAGAACACAUUACAUCCUGAUAGUUGCU